UACAGAGGUCUCAAGCGUUGUUCGGAUUCAUUGGGCGUAAAGGGUGCGUAGGUGGCGUGGUAAGUCGGGUGUGAAAUUUCGGAGCUUAACUCCGAAACUGCAUUCGAUACUGCCGUGCUUGAGGACUGGAGAGGAGACUGGAAUUUACGGUGUAGCAGUGAAAUGCGUAGAGAUCGUAAGGAAGACCAGUGGCGAAGGCGGGUCUCUGGACAGUUCCUGACACUGAGGCAUGAAGGCCAGGGGAGCAAACGGG
rnacentral:rRNA from 1 species